rnacentral:rRNA from 1 species
CCUACGGGAGGCAGCAGUGGGGAAUAUUGGACAAUGGGGGGAACCCUGAUCCAGCCAUGCCGCGUGUGUGAAGAAGGCCCUCGGGUUGUAAAGCACUUUCAGUGAGGAAGAACGCCUGGUGGUUAAUACCCAUCAGGAAAGACAUCACUCACAGAAGAAGCACCGGCUAACUCCGUGCCAGCAGCCGCGGUAAUACGGAGGGUGCGAGCGUUAAUCGGAAUUACUGGGCGUAAAGCGCGCGUAGGUGGCUUGAUAAGCCGGUUGUGAAAGCCCCGGGCUCAACCUGGGAACGGCAUCCGGAACUGUCAAGCUAGAGUGCAGGCGAGGAAGGUAGAAUUCGCGGUGUAGCGGUGAAAUGCGUAGAGAUCGGGAGGAAUACCAGUGGCGAAGGCGGCCUUCUGGACUGAAACUGACACUGAGGUGCGAAAGCGUGGGUAGCAAACAGGAUUAGAUACCCCUGUAGUC